rnacentral:rRNA from 1 species
UACGGGGGGGUGCGAGCGUUGUCCGGAAUCACUGGGCGUAAAGGGCGCGUAGGUGGUUUGAUAAGGGUGUGGUGAAAGUCCGGGGCUCAACCCCGGAUCUGCCGUGCCGACUGUCAAACUCGAGGACUGUAGAGGCAGACGGAAUUCCGGGUGUAGCGGUGGAAUGCGUAGAGAUCCGGAGGAAGACCGGUGGCGAAGGCGGUCUGCUGGGCAGUUUCUGACACUGAGGCGCGACAGCGUGGGGAGCAAACAGG